rnacentral:lncRNA from 1 species
ACCCGGAACUGCUCACCUGAGCCUCCUCACCUGGCCUCUCUCAUCUGGAACCUCUCACCUGGAAUCUUUACCUGGAGCUGCUCACCUGGCUGCUCUCACCUGGAGCUGCACACCAGGAACCCCUCACCUGGCAGAGCUCACCUGGAAUUCCUCACCUGGAACUCCUUACCUGGAAUCUUCACCUGGGACUGCUCACCUGGCUGCUCUCACCUGGAACUGUUCACCUGGAACUGCUCACCUGAGCCUCCUCACCUGGCCAGUCUCACCUGGAACCCCUCACCUGGAAUCUCUCACCUGGCCAGUCUCACCUGGAACUGCUCACCUGGAACUGCUCACCUGGAAUCUCUCACCUGGAACUGCUCACCUGGCCGCUCUCACCUGGCUGCUCUCACCUGGCCGCUCUCACCUGGCCGCUCUCAGCUGGCCCCUCCCCCACCGCCCCUCCUUGGCAGCACCUGAGGGUCUCAGGUGUCCCCGCACACCUGGGCAGGUGAAUAAAUCCAAAAUGGCGUCUGGAGCCUCCAGGUGUGCACGUGGAAUUGUUUUGAGUUGCAUCCAGGUGGGACAGGUGGGGAUUUCAGGUGUUCCAAACUCCCCAGGUGGGACAGGUGUGGAUUUUGGGAGGGUCCCAACUCCCCAGAUGUGAAUUUUGGGAGGGUCCCGACCCCCCAGGUGUGACAGGUGGGGAUUUUUGGGGGUCCCACAUCCCCCCAGGUAUGACAGGUGUGAAUUUUGGGAGGCUCCUGAUCCUCCAGGUGGGACGGGUGUGGAUUUUUGGGGGGUCCCACUUCCCCCCAGGUGUGACAGGUGUGGAUUUUGGGAGGUUCCCACUCCCCCAGGUGUGAAUUUCAGGUGUUCCAAACCCUCCAGGUGGGACAGGUGUGGAUUUUGGGGUCCCACAUCCCCCCAGGUGUGACAGGUGUGGAUUCCAGGAGAGUCCCGACCCCCCACGUGUGAAUUUUGGGAGGUUCCCAACUCCCCAGAUGUGAAUUUUGGGAGGGUCCCGACCCCCCAGGUGUGACAGGUGGGGAUUUUUGGGGGUCCCGUGUU